rnacentral:rRNA from 1 species
AGCGAACGCUGGCGGCAGGCUUAACACAUGCAAGUCGAGCGCAUCCUUCGGGGUGAGCGGCAGACGGGUGAGUAACGCGUGGGAACGUACCCUUUCCUACGGAAUAGCUCCGGGAAACUGGAAUUAAUACCGUAUACGCCCUUAGGGGGAAAGAUUUAUCGGGGAAGGAUCGGCCCGCGUUGGAUUAGCUAGUUGGUGGGGUAAAGGCCUACCAAGGCGACGAUACAUAGCUGGUCUGAGAGGAUGAUCAGCCACAUUGGGACUGAGACACGGCCCAAACUCCUAGGGGAGGCAGCGGUGGGGAUUAUUGGACGAUGGGCGCAAUCCUGAUCCAGCCAUGCCGCGUGAGUGAUGAAGGCCUUAGGGUUGUAAAGCUCUUUCAGUAGGGAAGAUAAUGACGGUACCUACAGAAGAAGCCCCGGCUAACUUCGUGCCAGCCGCCGCCGUAACAC